GGAGGGGGUUUGCUUUCAGAUCUGUCACCAGCAUCUGGGUCUGCCCCUUGGUGCACGGGGACGCAGCCUUGUGGUGGGGGCAGAGCUGACAUUCCGUGGAGACGCAGCGGCCUGGUUUGACUAAGUUGUAUUGGGAUAUUCCCAGUGUUACGGGGAACCACCCGCGGGGUGCCUUCCUGUCACUCCAGCUCCCCGGGCUCUCCCCUGGGCCAUCUCUAAACAAAUCCUACCACCAGCCACCUCAGGCACCUGUCCAGCCGCCCUCUGCCUGUUGGUGUCUGCUUGGUGAACAGUUCGGCCAUCCCCCCAGGACAAGGGGUGACACUGUGAGGACUCAGGAGGCCCGUUGGUUGUGGGGCACCUGCCGCAAGACACUGUCAUGUGAGAGGGGAGGCUACGUCUUAGGCUCACAGGUCAAGGCCCUGUGGACAGGAAUCCCCUCUUGCCACUGCGGGGCCGUGGCCUUGCAUCAGAAAGGGUUCCUUCGUUUGCCAGAAGCUGGGAGGACCUCAGGGGUCUUCUAGUCCUGCCCACUCAUGGCAGGAGAGGAACCUAUAGCUCAGCACGAGGUCACUUGCUCCUGUCCUGUAGCAAACCGGCAGCCUGCCUGAGCUUCCCGACUGUCCCCACUACACCGUACCCGAGGUGAGAAAAGAUCUUGACGCAAAAGACCUCAGAGAUGUUCCAGACAUUUCUCGAACCCCUCCCCUCUGCCUUUCUGCACCCGGGGUCACUGAGUUAGAACACCUGACAGUUCCUCGAGACUGAGUGGAUUUUAGAGCCAACCUCAGUCAGGGCUGGGGACAGGGCUCAGUCUCACAUAUGUGACUCAGAAACCUGGAGACCCCCCGGAUGGCGGUCUCCAGCCGGCAGCCUGCAGGCCAGGUGUGGCCCGCAGACCUGUUUCACCGGGACCCCCGCGAGUUGCUGGUGUUCUGAUUGAACAGCUGGCCGACCUUCACAAAGUGGGAGACUUCACACAGAGUGUUUUCUUAAACGAGGGAUUUUCUUAAAGAAAAUCCAGCCACCGGUGUGCCCCAUUUCUCCAGGCAGGGCCAGCUUCUUGUGGUUGGGACACAUGCCCUAGUUUGUCCCCUUCUUGCUAGCUGCUCUCGGUCAUUCACUGGCCAGGAGGCACCCGAGUGGCUGGCCGGGGUCUUUCUGGUGGCCUCCCUUGGGCCAUGUGUGUCCUAGAUGGAGUCAGGCCCACAGGAGCAUCUGGGGUCCUUCUUCAGGCGCUCAGGCCCUUUUGGGCCAGGGAGAUGUUCAGGGCCUCAGGACGGUCACAGGACUGUUGUCGAUCGACUGUGAUGUUGGACAGCUGGCUGGGAUGUUGGACACCCCCCCCCCCGCCUCUGUGCCCAUCUACCCCACAGUGCCCUUCUCUCUCUAGCCAGGCUGCCCGGGGCGGACACUCCCCAGCUGGGCUGGGCCUGGUUAUUCUCUCAGGCAGGUGUUUUCUGAGCCCCCGGAAUGGGAACAGCAGGGGGCUGGCUUCACCCAGGAGGGAGACAGAGUCACAGAAGACGUAAGUCACGGGCAAAUACGUCUUUUGAAAGCUUCCAAAAAGGAUAGUGGCUCACAGCUACGGGAGGAGCCAGGGCAGGCUUCAUGGAGGGGGAGGUGUGUGCGGUGGGCCUUGAAGUUGACCAUGAGCUUCAGGG
rnacentral:lncRNA from 1 species